UCUUAUUCAUUAGACACCAAACAGGCGAAAACAGAAUGAAACAGGGAGGGACUAACUGAGAUAUAAACAUUUGUUUUCUGUAGCAAAACGUUUUGGUGCGUGAAUGGUAGAAAGUUAACUUACCAUCUGUGUGGCAAACCCAGGACGGCUGGGACAAGGAGGUGAACUUCAUUCUGACCAUCAGUUCUCCUGCUGUAUCCUGCUCUACUGCACUCCCUUCUGGACUCUCAGGCUAUUGACCGAGAGAGAAAUAAGAGUGAGAUAGACAGAGGACAGAGGAGACAUACCAGCAAGUUGAACAAAACUUUUCCCCAAAAAUAUUGUUUUAUAAAGAUAAAGGGUAUUGUGUGAACGUUGCUUCAUGGUCAGCAGUUAUACCCUACCUUUGGGCACAGGGGGUACCAGUUGGAGCCCUGGGUGGUGCUGUCCUCAAAUAUACAGCCCUCCAGCGGGACGAGGACCUCUCCCAGAAACACCUUCUUCUUCAGGGUCGCAGAGUGCCACACAGACACCUGCAGAGUACUCCUGGACAACAAGGGGCUCUCCAUCUGGCACUGUGCAUCAGGGAAUACAACACGUAGGGCACUCAACUCACCCUCUUUCCCCAUGAGUACUCUGAACCCAGGGAAAGGUCCUCAUCCGCCCCUGACGAGGAACUGCUCUGGUCAUCAUUCCGGCUCUUCUUGAACAGAGAGGCUUUUCCAGCCAGUGCUCUGUCCCCGCCUGUUGUCCACUGUAAGAAGAUCCUGUUCCACUCGUACAUCCUGUUGCGAGCUGGAGAACCCUGCAACCCGAACGGUGCGGUUUCCUUAACACCGACGACUGAGCGUAAGGAUAUCUUAUCGACAAAUUACAUUAAGGUUUGCGAUAACGCUCAGAGGAAAUUAGUCACUGUUUUGACUUUCUUGGAUCCUAGUUCUCAUUAAGAUGUACAUAAAAUUACUUCACAUUGAAAGAUCAUAGUUUUGUUUUUUUACAGAGACCUUGGCUGCGUUUCAAAAUCAUAAAAGACACACCAUAGUCCACUUACCCUCGCCUUAUGCCCUUGGGGGAAUCCCUGUAGCCAUAUUUGUCGUCGGUCCAAAUGAUUAGCCAAGCAAGGGAAGUUUGCAACGUAAACUUCUGCGACAGAAGUUUCCUGGACUCGAACCCAGGAUUUCUAGUGGCACAGCUAGCACAGUGAUGCAGUGCCUUAGACCACUGCACCACUCGGGAGGCCCAGGGUGUGUCUUUUAAGUGUUUGGAAUGCAGCCCUUUUCUUCGUAAAUACCAAAAUGGCUCAAAAGAGUCACUUACUUCUCAUGUGGCUGGUGAGGGAAACCAUCAGGUCCUCCAUAGACUUGGUUAAUGGUUUUUUAAAGGAAUUCUUCAGUCCCUAGAGAUGAUUGACAAUACAUCUGACAGACCAAGUCAUAAUUGUGGUUCAUGAAACUGUGAAGGAGUGAGCCCUUCACAACCUAUUUAUUGGAUAAAAUAAGUUGUAUGCAGAAUCCCUUUCAUUUUAACAAUUCAUAAUUCCAGGCAAUACUAUAGCUGCAAUGUCAAUUGCACCUCUUGGAUUUUUUGGACAUAAUGUUCAAAUCAUCUAUAAGUGACUUUGUUGAGCUUCAAUCAAUUUGAGAUACUUUUGGAUGAU